GCCCGGGUGGUGAAAUUGGCUAAACACGUAGGUUUCAAAAACCUAUGGGAGCAAUCCCUUGAGGGUUCGAGUCCCUCCCUGGGCACUA
rnacentral:tRNA from 1 species